rnacentral:pre_miRNA from 1 species
AAUGGAUCGGUUUAACGGGAUAUUGGUCCGGUUCAAUAAGAAAGCAGUGCUCUAAGUGCUUGAGCUCUGCUUUUUGAUUGAGCCGUGCCAAUAUCACGUGCCACUGUUCCUUUAU